rnacentral:misc_RNA from 1 species
UUUCCGUAGGUGAACCUGCGGAAGGAUCAUUACUGAGUGAGGGCCCCUCGGGGUCCAACCUCCCACCCGUGUUUAACGAACCUUGUUGCUUCGGCGGGCCCGCCUCACGGCCGCCGGGGGGUAUCUGCCCCCGGGCCCGCGCCCGCCGAAGCCACCUGUGAACGCUGUCUGAAGUAUGCAGUCUGAGACAAUUAUUAAAUUAAUUAAAACUUUCAACAACGGAUCUCUUGGUUCCG